UUAAAAUUCCACUUUGUACUGUAGUCAGGGAAGUAUAUGAUUAAGAGCAAAGAUCUUUUCUUCUCAAUCCUGUUACUUGGAAUUUUUGUAUAAUUUUGAAAGAAAGCUAGCAUACCUUUUUAUCCUCAUAGGUUCUCUCAGAUCACUCAUUAUCUUUUAUAUAUCUCACUGAGGCUGUUUUAAUUUGCAAAAAUUCUCAAGCAUACUUACUUUGCAUUUGUUGCCUGAUCAAAACGGGAUCCGAGGAGGGGAAUGUCAUACUCUUAGAUCAAAGACCUUGGAAAUUAAAAUCUUUAUCAACUCUUGGUGGCAUAUUGCUUAUUAGAGGGACCAUGGGCUAUCAUUUUCUCUUUUUUCUCUUUUUUUAAGUGGAUACCGAGGUACCCCUAAUUCUACUACCGGACACUUGUCCAUUUUUUUCUGCGAGGUUGUCGAGCAGUUGCUCCUUUUUAGUUCCUCGAAAUAUCUCUAUUUUUGCAUAGCCCAUGCCUCUAAUGCAAUAAUACUUCGGAAGAGUGAAUCUUUCUGAACAAAUGUCUUGAUCUUAGGAGCAUGAUAAAUCUCUCAAUAAGGGUCUAACUCAUUUUGAACAAACUCAAUACAGAGUAGAUAGCUAUUAUAAUCAUAAUUAAUAUUUUUAGUUUUAUCAGGCAUAUAAAACACUGAGGAUGGUAGCUAGAAUUUUAAAUAUUUUGAAAUAAAUUCUCCAAGUAGCAAUGAUAUCAAGAAUAAGAAACUCGUACUCUACCAUCUCACAUUCCAUAUUGACUUAAGUAACACAGGGUUUUAAAAUGAUUUUUUAAUAAUUGCAAGUUUUCAGGAAAUAUCACAGAUUGAGAUUAAUCAUGAUUAGAAAUGUUUUAAUCUUUUUAUCAUGUCGGAAACAGUAUUCUGCAUAAUCCAAAAAAUAUGUAUGUGUAAAGUAAAGUGUGCAGAGUGUGUACCUGAAUCGUGGAGUGGUGUGGUUGGAGUGUGUUUAGCAUGUUGAGGGAUGUCCCCCAUACUUGUUUUCUGCUUUCUUGCACAAAAAUAAAGUAGAGACACACAAGACAUAAUAAUAAUAAUACUCUUUAUUAAUCUUGAGGCAUUUAUUACAAAAGACUAGUAGC
rnacentral:lncRNA from 1 species